GACGAACGCUGGCGGCGUGCCUAAUACAUGCAAGUUGAGCGCUGAAGGUUGGUACUUGUACCAACUGGAUGAGCAGCGAACGGGUGAGUAACGCGUGGGGAAUCUGCCUUUGAGCGGGGGACAACAUUUGGAAACGAAUGCUAAUACCGCAUAAAAACUUUAAACACAAGUUUUAAGUUUGAAAGAUGCAAUUGCAUCACUCAAAGAUGAUCCCGCGUUGUAUUAGCUAGUUGGUGAGGUAAAGGCUCACCAAGGCGAUGAUACAUAGCCGACCUGAGAGGGUGAUCGGCCACAUUGGGACUGAGACACGGCCCAAACUCCUACGGGAGGAAGCAGUAGGGAAUCUUCGGCAAUGGACGAAAGUCUGACCGAGCAACGCCGCGUGAGUGAAGAAGGUUGUCGGAUCGUAAAACUCUGUUGGUAAAGAAGAACGUUGGUGAGAGUGGAAAGCUCAUCAAGUGACGGUAACUACCCAGAAAGGGACGGCUAACUACGUG
rnacentral:rRNA from 1 species